GUAACGCGUAGUCAACCUAACCUAUGGACGGGAAUAACCUCGGGAAACUGAGAAUAAUGCCCGAUAGAACAUUAUGCCUGGAAUGGUUUAUGUUCCAAAUGAUUUAUCGCCGUAGGAUGGGACUGCGGCCCAUCAGUUUGUUGGUGAGGUAAUGGCCCACCAAGACUAUUACAGGUACGGGCUCUGAGAGGAGUAGCCCGGAGAUGGGUACUGAGACACGGACCCAGGCCCUAUGGGGCGCAGCAGGCGAGAAAACUUUGCAAUGUGCGAAAGCACGACAAGGUUAAUCCGAGUGGUUUCUGCUAAAGAAACCUUUUGUCAGUCCUAGAAACACUGAUGAAUAAGGGGUGGGCAAGUUCUGGUGU
rnacentral:rRNA from 1 species